UAGUGACGAAGCGCACCAGGAGCGUCGCCUUUGCCCGACUACUAUAUAUACAUGAAGAAAUGAAAACGUACAGUAAUCGUCCGAUGGUUACGAGGUCACAGGACGCCAUCAGAUAUAUUGUGGGCUUUUGGGGGCAAACCCAAAGCCUCUGCGCUCCCACCCAACCGUAGCAGCCGUAGAUGUCUCCGACUGCCCCUUGGACCGGUCACCGGCUUCAGCUUCCCGUAAGGAAACCCAUCAACCACCGCCCGCUGGGUGCAACAGUCACACCAAGGGAUUUACGUAGACGGGUAGACUGGUCUGUUUUCUUUAUUUCGGUCCCUACCUAAAAGAGCUCUCUUAAGCGGAUCCCAGACCCGAGGAUAACACACGAACCUAUUCUACGCGGUCGCUGGAGAGGAUUCCCCGUGGGAUUAACAAGUGCGAUAAAUUGCAAAAACUAACAGAUACAAAUGUGAAAAAACACUCGCCGUGAAUUGUUCACAUCCGGCAAUAAACAGUUUAAAAUUUGUGAUAUAAUAAAUAAAUAAUGGGUAGUAUCUAUGUGCAAUAUAUAUAUAGGUUAAUUUUAAAGUGUUAUAUAAGAUCCCCUGCCCCAACAAAU